rnacentral:tRNA from 1 species
GCCGAGGUGGCGGAACUGGUAGACGCGCCAGCUUCAGGUGCUGGUGGGGGCAACCUCGUGUCGGUUCGAGUCCGACCCUCGGUACCA